CAGGGAUUGCCCUAGUAACGGCGAGUGAAGCGGCAACAGCUCAAAUUUGAAAUCUGGCUUCGGCCCGAGUUGUAAUUUGUAGAGGAAACUUUUGGUGAGGCACCUUCUGAGUCCCUUGGAACAGGGCGCCAUAGAGGGUGAGAGCCCCGUAUAGUCGGAUGCCGAUCCAAUGUAAAGUUCCUUCGACGAGUCGAGUAGUUUGGGAAUGCUGCUCAAAAUGGGAGGUAAAUUUCUUCUAAAGCUAAAUAUAGGCCAGAGACCGAUAGCGCACAAGUAGAGUGAUCGAAAGAUGAAAAGCACUUUGAAAAGAGGGUUAAAUAGCACGUGAAAUUGUUGAAAGGGAAGCGUUUGUGACCAGACUUGCGCCGUUCCGAUCAUCCGGUGUUCUCACCGGUGCACUCGGGGCGGCUCAGGCCAGCAUCGGUUUUGGUGGGGGGAUAAAGGUUCAGGGAACGUAGCUCCUCCGGGAGUGUUAUAGCCCUGGGCGUAAUGCCCUCGCUGGGACCGAGGUUCGCGCAUCUGCAAGGAUGCUGGCGUAAUGGUCAUCAACGACCCGUCUUGAAACACGGACCAAGGAGUCAAGGUUUUGCGCGAGUGUUUGGGUGUAAAACCCGCACGCGUAAUGAAAGUGAACGUAGGUGAGAGCUUCGGCGCAUCAUCGACCGAUCCUGAUGUAUUCGGAUGGAUUUGAGUAAGAGCGUUAAGCCUUGGACCCGAAAGAUGGUGAACUAUGCUUGGAUAGGGUGAAGCCAGAGGAAACUCUGGUGGAGGCUCGCAGCGGUUCUGACGUGCAAAUCGAUCGUCAAAUCUGAGCAUGGGGGCGAAAGACUAAU
rnacentral:rRNA from 1 species